AAGAUUUUAAGUUAUAUAAACUAACAACCUUCAAAGUUUUAAAAAUAAUUAUUUUAUAAAUCUUA
rnacentral:tRNA from 1 species